rnacentral:rRNA from 1 species
CCUACGGGUGGCAGCAGUAGGGAAUCUUCCACAAUGGACGAAAGUCUGAUGGAGCAACGCCGCGUGAGUGAAGAAGGGUUUCGGCGCGUAAAGCUCUGUUGGUAGGGAAGAAAGAUAGAGGAAGUAACUGGCCUUGAGUGGACGGUAAGUACAGAGAAAGGCACGGCUAACUCCGUGCCAGCAGCCGCGGUAAUACGUAGGGGGCAAGCGUUGUCCGGAUUUAUUGGGAGUAAAGCGAGUGCAGGCGGUUCACUAAGUCUGAUGUGAAAGCCUUCGGCUCAACCGGAGAAUUGCAUCCGAAACUGUUGAACUUGAGUGCAGUAGAGGCGAGUGGAUCUCCAUGUGUAGCGGUGGAAUGCGUAGAUAUAUGGAAGAACACCAGUGGCGAAGGCGGCUCUCUGGUCUGCAACUGACGCUGAGGCUCGAAAGCCUGGGUAGCGAACAGGAUUAGAUACCCGAGUAGUC